AUGUCCGACAGAGCCCCUUACUCCCAUUGCAAACAGUUAGGGAGUCAUAUAAAAAAGAGAGAGAAGAGAGAGAGUGAGGGAGGGAAAAUCGAAGCGCCUCUUGACGUAGUCUUCACAGGCUUCGGGUUCAAGCACAGUUCAUUCCAGGCUUUUUCUGUUUCUCACACACUCCAAAAAAAAUUAUUCCCCGAGUUCUUCAAAAAAAGCCAAGGCCAAAUUGUAAAUACCUGCCGUUCAAGACUGGAUAGCACAUUCAAAUUGUACAAUACAUGCUUACAUACACCCUUAUACAAUCACCUAUUUUGUUUUAUAUAUCUGAAGGCCUACAGGGACAGUUCACCCAAAAACUAACUUUCGUCUGCAAAUACAAAAGAAUAUAUUUUGGGAAAAACACACACACACACACACACACACACACAAACACAGAGAGAGAGAGAGAGAGAGAGAGAGAGAGAGAGAGAGUUAAUGCAGUCCAAUGUGGUUUUGAGCCCAUUGACUUUUAUAUUAAGUACAAAAGCAGAUUUCAAAAUCUAUUUUUUUAUGUUCCACAGAAGAAAGAAGUCAUGCAGGUUUGGAAUGUUGCGAGUAAAUGAUGUCAGAAAAUAAUUUUUUGGGUGAACUAUCCUUUUAAUUAACUGUCCACAUCCAUAAAAGCAAAAUCUUGUGCUUAGUCGAAAUAAUAUCAAGCAGCUUAUCAGUUCAAAGUCAAAAGCCUUUGCUUGCUCAGCACCCCUGUGUGUCUUGUUUUCUGAUUAAUCAGAGACCAUUACAGGCCUGUAUUGUCAAGGACAGCGAGGACCUUCCAAUUGUCUCUCAGAUGUAAAGCAAACAGGUUUCCGUUCCAUAUGCUAAUCUCAUUGUUUAAUGACUACUCAUAAAGUGGCCUAGAUAAUGAGGAUCAUUAAUAAAACCUCUGUAAGCCCGGGAUUUGUCAAUUCUAAGUCACUUGCAUAAGGCUGAGUUUAGUCCAGCUCCUUCCUGGGAAAACAGCUGGAGUGGUGAUGGAAACACUUUUCUUUUCUCCCCCUCAUCUUCAGCUAUUUGUUUAUUUUCCCUUACUCAAGAAUGUACAAGAACAUCUCUUAGCUGCAUGUGAUGUGAUUUUUUUAACCCACCCUCUCCUAUUUUCUCAUAUUUGGUUCCGUGAGAAUUUUCAUGACAAGCAGCAUAUACCAACAGGAAUGCAGUGAAAAAGCAGAAGCUGGAUUUCCCCGAGAGGAGAGACUGAAAGAGAGACAAGGAGAGUGAGAGAGGCAUCCAGACAGAGUGACUAAGCAAAUGACAUACAGUAGUUAGUGGAUCCAUCCUUGUAUCUUUCCAGUGCUGAGAAGCCUCUUUCAAAUAUCUCUUUUAUUCACACGCUAAAGUAGAAUGAGUAAAUAGGCAAUAUUUAACAUAAAUACACUUAUAUACAUGGGUGUCAUGCACCUUAUGAGGGGACACAAUUCUUUCUUAGAUUCUUAGAUUUCUUAGAAUUCUUAGAUAUUUUGUGUCCUAUGCGAAAAAAAAGAAAGAAAGAAAGAAAGAAAGAAAGAAAGAAAGAAAGAAAGAAAGAAAAAACUUCAUCAGCUUAAGAUUUCUUUAAACACAAACCUAAAUUACAAAACAAAACAAACACUUAUUGGCAAAUUCCUUUUGACCUAUAUUGUUGUCCACUUAUUUGAGGGGAGCGGCUGUAUCCUACAGCAUCUCAUAAAUCCAACUCUAUUAAAAGUGUUUUUCAAGCUUUAGUAGAGGAAGGCAAAAUGAAAGUGGAAAGUUCAACGCACCUCUUACAAACAUGUAGUAUUAAAACUCCUACUUGGAUUUUUUUUUAUGCCUCUAGUUGAGGCAUAUGUCUUCCUUUUGCCUGUCCAGAGCAGCGAUUGGAAAUACAAAUGUAUUUUUCACUCUUUUGUGAGAAAAACAUUACAUGUCCAAAUGCUUCAAAAGAUUGCAAGAGUGAGUCCAGGAGGCAUGCUACAGUAUUUAAUAAAACACAGCGAGAGAGUGUGUGGAUUUUCACAGCAGACCUUUAAAAGAAUGCUUAUUAAGGGGGUGUUGAGGAGGUGUUGAAAGCGUUGAGAGCACAGAGGGGCGGCACAGAGCGUGUGGGCAAAGCCAUCACUUAUUUGCAGAUGUUAUCGGGUCACAACUCCAGCGAGGCCUCGGUGUCCCAAAGGAAACAUAAAAACCCAUAUGUUAAAGACAUCAGGUGGGAAAUCUUAACUUUGAUUGGGAAGAGAAUAACAGCUUUGGGCAAGACAUAUCUUGCCUGAUGUUCCACCAGUUUUGGGCCUGUUAUUUUCAUUUUCUAUAACAAAAGAUGCAAAUGGUAUCAGGGCAGCAAACUUUUAGUUAUACAAGACAUAAUAUGGCAGAAAAUUACUGAAGUCCUAAAAAAAAAAAUCUGUCAAUUUAAUAAGUGUUUUUGACUUUGCCUCGAGUUUUAUCCAACCAUAGCUAUUUAAAAUGAGGAUAGUAGUGCCUCUGGACUGUCUGAAUGAUGUCCUGGCAUUCACAAGGUCCUUUUGGUCAUCUAAAACUUGAACACUUGAGAAAGUUUUACUCUCUAACAACCCUUCAAAAAAGACAUUAUGAAAGUAGGGGCAUUUCUGCCAAACAGUGAUCCCUUGAAGAACCUCUUGGAGGAGACUGGGAGGAGGAGUUCUGUCUUUUAGAAAACAUCUCCAGACUUGGGAAAGUCAAAGUGCACUGCCAAAAGAUCUUGGAAGAGUGUUUCUCAUGAAGAUGUUAUGUCUGGAGUUUCUCGGAUAACUUCCUCUAUUGCCCAUUAGGCCACAUUUCUGAAAGAACGUAUUUAGAGGCAACACAUGAGAACACAGAAAUUAGACAAAAUUUUUUUUUUUUGGAAUGAGACAUUUUUUAACAAUUGGCAGAUUUUUAAACAUGCUCUCUUAAUUAAUGUUGAAAUGUGACAGCAUGGUACAAUCUGAUUUUGCUUAUAUUUAUAUAUACAGUAUUUUUUAUGCUAACUGUCAAUUUGAUGACUGAUAAUUUAUUUAUUUAUUUAUUUUCAAGCCAAUAUGGAUCCAGCAGAGUAGCAUAAACGUGACUAUUGUUGCGUUUAUUGACGGAAUGUUGAUGUUGACAAAUGAGAGCUCGUCCCAUUGGCCCCAUUUCUUUAAUAAUGCUCUUUUGCAAAACUGAGGGAUGUCAUCCAUUAUGGAUCAAGAGACUUUUCUGUUUGUUUGUUAUGUGCGCAAUGUCAGUGUGCACAAGUCAAAGGGAAAAAGCCCUUUGUCUAUCAUGCCACUAAUAAACACGGGGAGUUAAAUAUUUCAUCUCAUGAGGAGGCAUGGCAGGGGCCUCUGAGAUUGCGAUGCCAGCGAGCAGAGCUUGUGCAAUCCUCCUUCUUUGGUGUUUGCUGAUAAACUUGCAAGUACUGCCAUGGAGACCUUCCUCAUUUAACUUAUUUAACAAGGGCUUGUUCUUCUGAAAGCAGAUCCACCCUGAGGAUAGACGUUUUGACUCAACUUUGUGUCUGUCUAUUAAUAAAUUAGCCAUUCUGUCAUAUUUGGC
ensembl:lncRNA